UUGAAGUUGUGUUUGAGUUAUAAUUGAUUUGUAACGACCCUGAUUUUGGUUUAGUAGCUCAUGGUUUAAUUUAAUUAUUUGAUUGAACCUAACCACUAAUGAACCGAGUUAUAUAUAUAUAUAUAUCCAUGUGUAUAUAAUCCCUUCUAAAACCUAAAGCGAGAGAAGGUUUGGUGUAUCGAGAGAAAGAUCAGCCGCCUCCUCCAUUAAUCUAUAUCUCUCUCUGGUUCCCUUCUUCUUCACGUGUGCAUGGCUGUCUAUCGGAGAAGACGAGACGUAAUCACCGUUCACCAACCACCACGGCUCACACCUUGAGUCAUCACAGUCCACCGAAGAGACAUGCCGUUCCAUCACAACACCACCAUUUGUCAUAGUCGUCACCUGAGAUCCUUGCCGCGCCGGAGUCUUUACCAACUCUCGUCAUGGCCGUGAUCAUAACCGAGAGAUGCGGAGGAGACACGAUCCAAGCCGGAGCUGUGGCGUUUAACACCAACCACCACCAUCGUUAAUGGUGACCCAUCGGAGAUGUAGUUCAUGUCACCGGAGUUCAAGAUCCAUCGUCGCAAGUCAAAGCCGUGAAGGUUAUGGAGUCUUCUCCUUUGUUUCUUGUUUUACAAGUAACGUUUACAACUUAAAAACGUAAGGGUUUCAUGCGUAGAAAAUAAUCAUGGAACCUUGGAUAUUAAUUGAUUGACAAGAAACCCAUUCAAAAGCCUAGCCCACCGAGUCUUGUUGCAUACAGUUUUUGGGAGGUCAUGAUCCAUCUCUGAUCUUGGCUGGCUAAGGUGAGACUGACGAGUAUAUGAUAUUUGGAUGGAUUGGUGCUACUGGGCUUUUUAUUCGGAUUUUUAUUUGGGCUUAGGGUGAGUGGAGUCGUGUAUAUGGGCUAUUGUGUUAUGAGAUAUUGUUGGUGGCACGCUGUUCUCCGGAUAGGAGGUUACGGGUGUCUCAUGAUUAUUGUUGAGUUACAAUUUUGAGUUAUAGCCUUUAUAAAAAUGGUAACUCAAAUCUUAAAUCAACCUCAACAAAAAUUUCCUGUAUUAGGAUUUGAGUUCAGAAAAAUUGGGUUUGACUAUUAACUAUCCCACAUCUACUUUUUGCAUUUUAACAAAUUUAAAUUAAAUUUGUAUUAAAUAUUAUUUGUAUUCUUGUAAAAUAAUAUGUACCUAUUAUUCAUAUUCUUUUAAAAUAAUAUGUACUGCAAUCUAUACAUCAAAAAUGUUAUUAAUCAAUAAUAUUGAUAAAAUUCAUUUUUGCACAGCAAACUCACAAUAGAAAUCUACAGCUUUUACCAUAUAAUUUUUUACUGCAAAUUACAUCAAAUCGUAAUUUUUAUUGUAACUCAACUCUAAUACUAUGUUCGGAGUCGCCGUUACUCCCAACACUCCUUAAUUACGUUCAUUCGUUUGAUUAAGAAACAGUCUAUGUCGACAACAUUCCAAAGUAGAAAUGAGCAUAUCAAAG